rnacentral:lncRNA from 1 species
AUGUAAACUAUACCUUAAGGUUCUUCUUCGAUUCUACUAAGCUACCACAACAUACUGUUAGAUGUCACUGGUGGAUUGUGAAAGCUCACUAGGAUUGCUCAGGAUCAACAAUCUUUGAUGAGUUAGAGUGAAAUUGUUUCGAUCUAUUGAAAAAAAUUUCAAUGAUACUAUGUUAGAGCUCAUUGUAUAUCUCACUACCAGAUAAAAUUGAACCUAUGAGAUCACACAACAAAGGGAU